rnacentral:rRNA from 1 species
UACGAAGGGUGCAAGCGUUACUCGGAAUUACUGGGCGUAAAGCGUGCGUAGGUGGUUUGUUAAGUCUGAUGUGAAAGCCCUGGGCUCAACCUGGGAAUGGCAUUGGAUACUGGCGAGCUAGAGUGCGGUAGAGGGUAGUGGAAUUCCCGGUGUAGCAGUGAAAUGCGUAGAGAUCGGGAGGAACACCAGUGGCGAAGGCGGCGACCUGGGCCUGUGCUGACGCUGAGGCGCGAAAGCGUGGGGAGCGAUCCGG